UGUGUGUCUCAGCCAUGGCCUCCUGCUACUUGCUGAACUCCUCAGUCACUCAGCUCACCAGUCCCUGAGCUUUCCCAUUCUUUGUCCUCCCUUCUGAGAGCUUUAUCACCUCAACUGCUCAGUCAGAGAGCAGGUUAUCGUUGGCUCUUUCCAGUUCCCGGGGGCAUGUCACUGAGCAACUGCCCCCCUCAACCAUAGCACCAUAGUGCAUCAUUUGCCUUGUGACACUGCUCAACACGUGCACUGCUACCAUGAGACCGCCCAAUGUGCCAACAAACGGUUGAAAACUGGAGAUCCUCAGGAAUAAAUACUGGACUUCAACUAGAACUGUGCUUUCAAGACAGGGCCCUGCCAGCAAGAAGAUCAUCAUGGGAUUCAGACCCUCAACUCCCAGAUCCAUAAGCCAAAAUAUACACUUCUCAUUUAAAA
ensembl:antisense Gm44073 predicted gene, 44073